AAUACUUUUGACAGUUGAUAUUAAGAUGAGCUAUUAUUGAUGCUGCCAAUCUUCCUCCGGUUGAAACGAAGCCGAGUGCCGACACAUUUUCCAUAAGCUCGAAUUUAAAACGGGUCGUAUACAAUAACCCGCCGGUUGCCGGUUGCCGACCACUUCAUUGGACUGGACGAUCGAAAAUAAAAUAUAGGACAAUUAACCUACGCAAGUAUCCUUCGACGCUAUUCGGGGAAAUCAAGCUGUGUCAUAUUAAAGUUCAAACGUGCACAGCCACCGAAGAAAC